GGUCGUGGCGUAACUAAUUUUACGCAUUGUACAUACACUUGAGGACUCCUACAUUGCCAAAUUUCAACCAAACCAAUGUUUUCCACAGGUUGAAGGAAGAAAAUGAUACACAUUUCGAUAAGAAAUGAGGGGCGAUUUGGUCCAGAAGGUGUAAAUCUGUUUGAUAUGAGGAUUACGCAGAGAGGAAACUGUGCCGUUUUAAAACUUGAAUUUGACCUCCAAACCAACAUGCGCAUCUCGGGACAAAACACAUUGGUACGAAAAAACUUCACAUCGACCAAAAUUUUCCGUGGCGGUUGUUGCAAUGGAGUCGAGGACAAGUUAAGAUGACAGAUUUUAAUUGGAAUCCUAACAUUCACACAAAUAUGUAGUUGUAUGUAUGUAUAUGGCUGCAUAAGUAUGUAUAGAUUUAAAAUAUUGGUUACAUAAUUGACA